rnacentral:lncRNA from 1 species
GAUAAAUGCAAACAUACUAAUUAUAUUAAUUUUUUAUUUUUAUUUAUUUAUUUUUUUGAGAUGGAGUCUCACUCUUGUCGCCCAGGCUGGAGCGCAGUGGCGCGAUCUCAGCUUGCUACAACCUCUGCCUCCCAGGUUCAAGCUAUUCUCCUGCCUCAGCCUCCCGAGUAGCUGGGAUUACAGGCAUAUGCACCAAGCCCAGCUGAUUUUUGUAUUUUUAGUAGAGACAGGGUUUCACCAUGUUGGCCAGGACAGUCUCGAACUCCUGACCUCAGGCAAUCCUCCCGCCUUGGCCUCCCAAAGUGCUGGGAUUACAGGUGUGAGCCACCGCGCCCGGCUUUGUUUUUGUUUUUGUAGAGAUGGGGUUUCACCAUGUUGCUCAGGCUAGUCUCGAACUCCUGGGCUCAGGCAAUCCUCCCUCCUCAGCUUCCCAAAGUGUUUAGGAUUCCAGGUGCGAGUUGCCACGCCCUGCAGGAAAUUUUCUAUUUAAAGGACUUCUAUGGUGAAUCAUUCCAUACAGCAUAUUAGUAUCAUUUCUGUCAAUCUAGGUUUUGAGUCCUGGCUCUCUCUGUGCUACUAUCAGAUAGCUGUAUGAUGUUGAACAAAUCACUUCUCCGUUUCUUCAGAAGAAAAUGGAAAGGGGGGUUUUGAUGAUAUCUGGAAUGACUGAUAAGGGGCAUCUGAAUCAUCUCCAACCCUGACAUUCGGCUUUAGUAUGUCUGAAAGCAGACCUACUGCCACAUUUGGGAAUUUCCAGAGCAGAUGAUCUCUAAGGUCUCUUUUUAAGUCUGAAAUUGUCAUUUAUGACAUAUUUGGGCUUGCUGAAAUUAAGAUUCAUCUGUAUUGGGAAUCGGCUUCUGUUCUUCCCUGCCAUAUUCCUUGUGAAUUGUGAAUUCCCCCACCUCAAAUACAUAACAUCUUUAUCUGAAGUCACCAGUGGUGCUCUAGGAACACAGCUUUGUUUACUUUCACCAAAGCAUUUCCCAUCUGAUAUGGUUUGGCCGUGUCUCCACCCAAAUCUCACCUUGAAUUGUAGCUCCCGUAAUUCCCACGUAUUGUGGGAGGGACCCGGUGGGAGGUAAUUGAAUCAUAGGGGUGGUUUCCCCCAUACUAUUCUCGUGGUAGUGAAUAAAUCUCACAAGAUCUGAUGGCUCUAUAAGGGGAAACCCCUUUUGCUUUGUUUUCAUUCUGUCUCUUGCCUGCUGCCAUGUAAGACGUGCCUUUUGCCUUCCAACAUGAUUGUGAGGCCUCCCCAGCCAUGUGUAACUGUGAGUCCAUUAAACCUCUUUUUCUUUAUAAUUUACUCAGUCUCGGGUAUGUCUUUAUCAACAGUGUGAAAAUGGACUAAUACACCACCUCAGUGUCAUCUUGGCUUUUCCCAAGGUAU